AUUGAACGCUGGCGGCAUGCCUUACACAUGCAAGUCGAACGGCAGCACGGAGCUUGCUCUGGUGGCGAGUGGCGAACGGGUGAGUAAUAUAUCGGAACGUACCCUAGAGUGGGGGAUAACGUAGCGAAAGUUACGCUAAUACCGCAUACGAUCUAUGGAUGAAAGUGGGGGAUCGCAAGACCUCAUGCUCGUGGAGCGGCCGAUAUCUGAUUAGCUAGUUGGUAGGGUAAAAGCCUACCAAGGCAUCGAUCAGUAGCUGGUCUGAGAGGACGACCAACCACACUGGAACUGAGACACGGUCCAGACUCCUACGGGAGGCAGCAGUGGGGAAUUUUGGACAAUGGGCGAAAGCCUGAUCCAGCAAUGCCGCGUGAGUGAAGAAGGCCUUCGGGUUGUAAAGCUCUUUUGUCAGGGAAGAAACGGUGAAAGCUAAUAUCUUUUGCUAAUGACGGUACCUGAAGAAUAAGCACCGGCUAACUACGUGCCAGCAGCCGCGGUAAUACGUAGGGUGCAAGCGUUAAUCGGAAUUACUGGGCGUAAAGCGUGCGCAGGCGGUUUUGUAAGUCUGAUGUGAAAUCCCCGGGCUCAACCUGGGAAUUGCAUUGGAGACUGCAAGGCUAGAAUCUGGCAGAGGGGGGUAGAAUUCCACGUGUAGCAGUGAAAUGCGUAGAUAUGUGGAGGAACACCGAUGGCGAAGGCAGCCCCCUGGGUCAAGAUUGACGCUCAUGCACGAAAGCGUGGGGAGCAAACAGGAUUAGAUACCCUGGUAGUCCACGCCCUAAACGAUGUCUACUAGUUGUCGGGUCUUAAUUGACUUGGUAACGCAGCUAACGCGUGAAGUAGACCGCCUGGGGAGUACGGUCGCAAGAUUAAAACUCAAAGGAAUUGACGGGGACCCGCACAAGCGGUGGAUGAUGUGGAUUAAUUCGAUGCAACGCGAAAAACCUUACCUACCCUUGACAUGGCUGGAAUCCCGGAGAGAUUUGGGGGUGCUCGAAAGAGAACCAGUACACAGGUGCUGCAUGGCUGUCGUCAGCUCGUGUCGUGAGAUGUUGGGUUAAGUCCCGCAACGAGCGCAACCCUUGUCAUUAGUUGCUACGAAAGGGCACUCUAAUGAGACUGCCGGUGACAAACCGGAGGAAGGUGGGGAUGACGUCAAGUCCUCAUGGCCCUUAUGGGUAGGGCUUCACACGUCAUACAAUGGUACAUACAGAGCGCCGCCAACCCGCGAGGGGGAGCUAAUCGCAGAAAGUGUAUCGUAGUCCGGAUUGUAGUCUGCAACUCGACUGCAUGAAGUUGGAAUCGCUAGUAAUCGCGGAUCAGCAUGUCGCGGUGAAUACGUUCCCGGGUCU
rnacentral:rRNA from 1 species